UACGAAGGGGGCUAGCGUUGCUCGGAAUUACUGGGCGUAAAGCGUGCGCAGGCGGCUUUGCAAGACAGAUGUGAAAUCCCCGGGCUCAACCUGGGAACUGCAUUUGUGACUGCAUCGCUGGAGUGCGGCAGAGGGGGAUGGAAUUCCGCGUGUAGCAGUGAAAUGCGUAGAUAUGCGGAGGAACACCGAUGGCGAAGGCAAUCCCCUGGGCCUGCACUGACGCUCAUGCACGAAAGCGUGGGGAGCAAACAGG
rnacentral:rRNA from 1 species